rnacentral:rRNA from 1 species
UACGGAGGGUGCGAGCGUUGUCCGGAAUCACUGGGCGUAAAGGGCGCGUAGGUGGCGCGGGAAGUCAACGGUGAAAGUUCGGGGCUCAACCCUGAAUCGGCCGUCGAUACUCCCGGGCUCGAGCACUGUAAAGGCAGAUGGAAUUCCGGGUGUAGCGGUGGAAUGCGUAGAGAUCCGGAAGAACACCGGUGGCGAAGGCGGUCUGCUGGGCAGUUGCUGACACUGAGGCGCGACAGCGUGGGAGCAACAGG